rnacentral:misc_RNA from 1 species
GAUGAAGAACGCAGCAAACUGCGAUACUUGGUGUGAAUUGCAGAAUCCCGUGAACCAUCGAGUCUUUGAACGCAAGUUGCGCCCGAAGCCGUCAGGCCGAGGGCACGCCUGCCUGGGCGUCACACGCCGUUGCCCCCCCGCGCCCCGCACCCAACUCUUUGGGAGCGACCGCGGGGCGGGCUGAUGAUGGCCUCCCGUGCGCUCCGCCGCGCGGUUGGCCCAAAUACCGAGUCCCCGGCGACGUGCGCCACGACGAUCGGUGGUUGAGAGACCUCUGUCGCAAGUCGUGCGCGCCCGUCGCGUCACGCGGGCUCGCAUAGCGCCUCGCGCCGCACCCGGUGCGGAGCUUUCAACGCGACCCCAGGUCAGUCGGGGUUACCCGCUGAAUUUAAGCAUAUCAAUAAGCGGAGGA